GACGAACGCUGGCGGCGUGCCUAAUACAUGCAAGUCGAGCGGACUGAUUAAGAGCUUGCUCUUAUGACGUUAGCGGCGGACGGGUGAGUAACACGUGGGCAACCUGCCCUGUAGAUCGGGAUAACACCGAGAAAUCGGUGCUAAUACCGGGUAAUAUCUGCGAUCACAUGAUCUUAGGUUAAAAGAUGGCUCCGGCUAUCACUACAGGAUGGGCCCGCGGCGCAUUAGCUAGUUGGUAAGGUAAUGGCUUACCAAGGCGACGAUGCGUAGCCGACCUGAGAGGGGGUGCGGCCACACUGGGACUGAGACACGGCCCAGACUCCUACGGGAGGCAGCAGUAGGGAAUCUACCGCAAUGGACGAAAGUCUGACGGAGCAACGCCGCGUGAGUGAUGAAGGGGUUCGGCUCGUAAAGCUCUGUUGUUAGGGAAGAAACAGUACCGAACGAACUAGGUCGGUACCUUGACGGUACCUAACCAGAAAGCCACGGCUAACUACGUG
rnacentral:rRNA from 1 species